UUCUGAAAUGUUGACCUC
rnacentral:rRNA from 1 species